rnacentral:lncRNA from 1 species
CUCACCAUUCCUGAUGUCCAAAGGGGCAAGUAGCAGUUAGUUAACUGUAUUAGUUCAUUGUGAUCCUGGGUUAUGCAUAUGGCAAAGGUAUAUUGUUACCUCAUAGAGAGAGCUUGAGGCUUGCUGUUUAAGUUCUUUUUGUGGAAGGUCAUUGAAUCACUAAUUCAGUGUGUUGGCUGAAGGUCCCUAGCUGUGCAAUAGAGGGAGGGGACAAGAUUUACAGGGCUUUUCAUGGACUUAAGCAGUAUGGACAGUACUGACAGUCCAGGCAGGGCUGUACUACCGUAGUAACUGGGCUACUGGACACCUGGACACAAUCUCUGAGUGGAAAGAGAGGACACGUCUGAAAAGUCAUGGAAGUAUGGAAUUCCUAAAAGGUAGGUGUCUGAGUUAAGUGCAUAUACUGUGUAAGCAAGUCUCCAGAGAAUAACUGAGUGUGCCAAUAUUCCCUGCAUCAACU